AUUGAACGCUGGCGGCAGGCCUAACACAUGCAAGUCGAGCGAGGGGAGGAGGGGGGAGUAAGGUCUGGGAAAAUGCCUGAAGGAGGGGGAUAAGAAGGGGAAAAGGUAGAGAAAAACGUAUACCAUCAGAUGUGGGCAGAGGGGAUUAGCUAGUAGGUUGGGUAACGGCUCACCUAGGGGACGAUCCCUAGCGGGGCUGAGAGUAGGACCAGCCAAACUGGCACUGCGACACGGCCCAGACUCCUACGGGAGGCAGCAGUGGGGAAUAUUGCGCAAUGGGCGCAAGCCUGAUGCAGCCAGGCCGCGUGUGUGAAGAAGGCCUUCGGGUUGUAAAGCACUUUCAGCGGGGAGGCGUUACCCGCAGAGGAAGCACCGGCUAACUCCGUGCCAGCAGCCGCGGUAAUUC
rnacentral:rRNA from 1 species